UAGAGGGCACUGAAUGAGUAAAGCUGUGCUGAAAACAACAGUGGCCAAGGCAGGAAUAUUCUCAUACCCCAAACAGUCGGGCAGAUGGAAGUCUGGCCAGCAGAACCAUAAAGCAUCGAGUCUGACUGUGAGUCAAUCUGUCAGCACAAGUACAAGAUGGUGAUACUAAGGCAGAAAAUGAUAAGGAAGAACAAUCGUCUCAUCUGAUGGUAGCUGGGUAAGGAGAACAAGUUUCUGUAUUUUUUCUUCACUAUUGCUCUGAAUGCUAAAGGAAGGAAAUGAUGUGCUCUAAAUAGACAGAAGCUUCCCCGAGUGGAAAUCUGAUCACAGGUACGUGGAUCACUUUCUCCUGAGCAUCAAGGUUUUCUUUACUUUCAGGAGUGUGUCUGUCACCUUAGAAAACCUGCUGCAGGUGUCCUGGGGCUGAGCUGGCGCUGAGGAGCUGGGAUUUGGAGACGGUUUCUGUUCCUUUUAUCCCCGCCUCAGCUCUCUUGCUCAUUUCACCAAGAUUGCAUUCUGGUUUCAUCUUCAGUGUCAGAAAAUCUAAAGAUCUAGAAGAUGGUAUGAAUUCACCUGCAUUUAAGCAAUUGGAAAUUUUACAAAAGGACAUGAAAAAGAAUGUUUUCUAACAAAACAAGAAUGAGAACAGAACCCUUUAUGAGGUGUUUAAAGAACUAUGGAAAUCAAGAUUUAUAAUUCAGUCUGUCAUAUAAGGCAGCAUAUGUAAGUCCAUGUGAAAAAGAAAGCGAAUUCUAUCAGAAGAUUACAUGUGCUUCUAUUUUCUCCUCUCUUAACAUUUUCUCCUAGAUACCUUGCCUGUUGGUACAAAAGGAGCUAUACGGGCAUUUCAGAAUGUUUGUGGACAGACAACAUUUAAAGAUAAGAUGAUUCUGCUGCAAGCAACUUUGGAAUCCAUGCAUACCAGGGGUUGUCACAAAGUUCACAGAGGGAGUGGUGUUUGGGCUGGUGGUGAAGAUGCUCACAUGGUGUUUUGAAAUGCUUGGGUCUGAUUAACUCCCUGAGGCUUCUGACCCCAUCUUCCUGCUAAUGUAGAUCCUGCAAGGCUACAGUGAUGGCUCAAGUAAUUGGGUUCCUGCCACCCAUGGGGGAGUUCCCUUCUCCAGUCUUAUCUGUUGUGACCAUUGGGUAGCUCUCUCUCUCUCUCUGCAUAUCAAAUGCAAUUUAAAAAUAUUGAAAUGAAAAUACUAUGCAGGGAUUUCAACUUUUUUUUUUUUCUUUGCACCAACACAAACUUUUCUUUACAUUUUCCAUGAGCUUUUCGAAGUUUACUCCUUCUACAUUGGUUUAGGCAGAUCUCAGACACACUUUUACAGUGAGCAGAAGCAGAGAUAAACUCGUGGCAGGUGCACAUGACCUUUUCAUCAGAAAAUCUUAUUUAAGGAUACAUUGUUGAGAUAAAGAAUCCUGCCAAACUCAAGGCCAAUGUAUGGUGGUUAUAAUUUCACAAUACUGAAAGAAAAAUACUUUAUAGAAGGCAGCACUUCUCAAUAAAAUAUGGAACAUCCACACUGUCUUAUAUAUGUAUUAUAUAUUCUUGACAGUUGUUCUCAUAAAUAUCUGAAAAAUUAAUGUUCUGAUACCUUCAGUAUUUGUCAAAGGGAUAUGGUACCUUAGUUUAAGAGACAUGGUGUUUUGACAGGAGACUCAUUUUAUUUCUGUUCCAUAACUAGGGGAAAAAGUAGGAGAUAACAUUUUAAAAAAAAGUUUAGAGAUAGAAUGCUGACCUGAAAAAGCCAUAAGUAAUGUGUUGAUAGUUUCAGAAAUUGAAAUGUGUUUGAAUGUUUCUGGUACCUUGCUGCAAAAUAUGACUGAAAUUGACAAAAGCAUAAAGUGAAAUUUUCCCAAAUGAUACCUCAUUCUCCACAAGUUUAUUUUAUAGUGUUGGAUACAGAUAAAACAUUAAAUAUCAGACUAAAGCCAACCAACCAACCAAACAAACAAAAUGGAGCUGGCACUGUGGCAUAGCAGGUAAAGCCGCCACCUGCAGUGCUGGUAUCCCAUAUGGCACCUGUUCGAGUCCUGGCUGCUCCACUUCUUAUCCAGCUCUCUGCUAUGGCCUAGGAAAGCAGUAGAUGGCCCAAGUCCUUGGGCCCCUAUAGCAGCGUGAGAGACCCAGAAGAAGCUCCUGGCUCCUGGCUUAGGGUGGGCCCACCUCCUGCCAUUGCAGUCAUUUUGGAAGUGAGCUAACAGAUGGAAGACCUCUCUGUCUCUGUCUCUCUGCCUCUCUGUAACUCUGCCUUUCAAAUAAAUAAAUGAAAAUCUUUAAAAAAUGCAUAUCACAGACUAUCUUCUUGAUGUCCAUUGAG